UAAAGUUGACCGAGAAAAUUGGUUGUGUGGCUUGAUUGAACCAUAUUAUGCGUUUAAUGUGAGGUGAUUGGUUGAAAUUGACAGUCCUCUUUCUGUACUGCGGUGAUAUGUCAGUUUUAUGCGAUAAAAUUUCGAUGGUUUGACUGUUUUAUGCGGAAAUAGUGCGAUUGGUAAGAUUUGCAAGCCCCUGCAUAAUAUACUGGGAAUUGUUGAUUUUGCACACAAAACAUGCGAUCGUUGAGGGACUAAACCUUUCUUUUAGGGGCUGUUCUUUUGUCGUAGAUACACAAUUCUUUCCACUUUUUAAAUGUUUAUUUGGAGUCUGGACACAUUUUGUUCUUUGCAUAAAAUAUAUUAUAAAGACAUUAUAAAGGGUAAGUCUUACAAUGCAUUAAAACUGCAUCCUAAUUCACUUGGAUGCUAUAAGUAUUGUUUUAGCCUACCAAACUGGUGAGCCUAAUCCAAUGGGUGCACAUAAUGGAAGGUUAUCUAAAGCUUAAUGAAUACAAAAGUUAUUUACAGAAGUAGGUCUCAUUCCUUGAACUUCCAGCUGACAACUUCAGGUGGAAGUUUAAGUCAGGUAGGGUAGGCUACUAUUCUGCCCUGCACGCAGGUAGUCUGUACAGUAGUAGUAGGCUCUCCCUUGACUUGCACCCCAGUUAUGUUUUCUGACAUGUAGGCCUAACCAUUGGGCGCAACACUGGACAAUUUCGGUAUUGUGAUUCACUACAUUGCAGGAGAGCAGUAUGGAGAAGAUUUCGGAAAGAUCAACAUGAUGAGGAAAGCUCCUGCAAUCUGAGAUUGAGACUUCUGUUUGUCUGAAAUGUGGGAUUGAAAACAUUGAGUUCAGUUGAGAGAUCAAUCAUCUCUACCUUAUUUGAUGAGGCAAUGUAAUAAGACUACUUAACAAAUCCUUUGUGAUGCCUAGAGUAACUAAACAAAUCACCAUUCUGAUUUUAGUAACAAUUGCAAUACAGUGGCCAGGCCAAGAGUUUCAAUGACAAACUGGUCAAUCAUCUUUGCAACAUUGCCAUCAUGAAAUACCUGGCAGAGAAGCACAAGACCGCAGACCACUGGUAUCCAGCCGACCUGCAGAAGCACACCCGUGUCAAUGAAUAACUGUCCUGGCAGCACAUGGGAAUACGUAUGCAUGGCUCCAAGAUGUAUUGGCUCAGGCUGUUGAUACCAAAGAUCAUGGGUGUGGAAGUCCCCAAGGACAAGAUGGAUGGAGCACUGGAGGACCUGGAGGGCUGGUCGAGAACAUGGACGGCAGCAAGAAGCAGGUCUUCAAGCCCAAGAUCUUGAGAUUGUUCUUCUGAAUUCUCCAGUGACAGUGCAGUGGAAUUCAAAUGAAGCUGGUCCUCUGUGAAAUAAUCAAGCUUGAUCUGUUAUUCAGCCACUAUGCACCAUGUAACAUAAUAAAAGUGAAACAUAAUAACAAAAUAAAACAUUCUCUA